GGCAGUGUGGCACAGUGGUUAGCGCGUUUGGCUAGGACCUGGGAGACGAAGGAUCAAAUCUCCAUUUGGUCA